rnacentral:lncRNA from 1 species
AGCAACAGAUACUAUUUUAGGAUAAGUUUGUCUCAAAUAUCAUACAGAACAUACUUGUGCUAAAAAAUUAUUCAUUGUUUAUCUGAAAUACAAAUUUAAGUGGGUGUCCUGUAUUUUUAUUUGCUAGAUCUGGCAACCCCAGUCCCACAACAACGCAGGCAUGUGAGGAAAAGAGGCCAACAUUUCAUGUACUUUCUAUUGCCCUCUGAGAUGCACAUAGCGCUCUUUUGGAAUAUUCUCCUCAAAAACAUGUUGUUAACUGGGGUUGGCUGAGGCUCCUGAGAUUUAAUUUCUCCCACCACAGACAUUAUUUUGUGUAAUCCACAAAUGAAGGUAGAUUUCAGUGUUGUGGUAGAAAAGAUUUUUCUUUGAGAAUUUCUGGCCCUUUAAGUUCCAGUUGGCCACCCUUUUGUCAUCAUACAGGGAACAACCUGAGGCAAAAUAAUGCUGCUCACAACUCAUCUCGACUACUCACGACUCCUCUCCACGACUCACCAGCAGCCCUGUUUCCCUAAGUUUGUGUCACUGUGAAUCCUCAGCCCUCUCUCCUCUUAUUUCUUUUUAUGAUCUGCAAAAGGCUGAGAAGAUGAAAAAAUGUUCUGAGCUUAAUCAAAAGCCUAUCUAAUAAUAAUAAGUCCUGCAGCGGGCUUGUAAAGAAUGCAGAUCAGACCCACUUAGCCAUAAUGGUUCUACAAAGUAAUGAAGACUCAAGUGGUCCUUAUUAGGUAUCAAGCUGUGAAUCAGAACUCAUCUAACAUCCUGAUUGCUAAAGGAAAUUGGUAAUUGAUGUGACAGAAUGGCCAUUAUUACUAUUAUUAUUACUUAUUAUUUUUUUUUAAAUCCAGACAUAGCGGCUAGGAGCCUGCCCCCAGCCUCCUUGGGGUAUACCAGGUGUGCAGGACCAGCGUGGCCAGAGCAAUCGUCUUAAUUAAUCAAAGCCCAGGAGCAGAGAUGAAGACAUCUUGCUUGGCAGUAGAGUUUGUGUCUGGGGAGGAAAGGUAAGAAUGCACUGGGUCUUCUUGCACGUGGAAGUGAUUCAUAAAAUGGGGCCUUUAUAAGGUUCUGUGUACUUUAUAAAUGUUAGAAUUUUAAAACAAUAAUGUAGCUUGUAGCAAUGAUGGGAACAAUCUAUAAAAUGGCAUUUAAAGGCACACUG